GAUGAACGCUAGCGGCAGGCCUAAUACAUGCAAGUCGAACGAUAUUAUCCAGCUUGCUGGAUAUGAAAGUGGCGCACGGGUGCGUAACGCGUAUGCACCCUACCUUAUUCAGGGGGAUAGCCCGAAGAAAUUCGGAUUAACACCGCAUAAAAUCACAGUUCAGCAUUGGACAAUGAUCAAAUAUUUAUAGGAAUAAGAUGGGCAUGCGUGUCAUUAGCUAGUUGGCGGGGUAACGGCCCACCAAGGCGACGAUGACUAGGGGAUCUGAGAGGAUGGCCCCCCACACUGGUACUGAGACACGGACCAGACUCCUACGGGAGGCAGCAGUAAGGAAUAUUGGUCAAUGGAGGGAACUCUGAACCAGCCAUGCCGCGUGCAGGAAGACGGCCCUCUGGGUUGUAAACUGCUUUUAUUCGGGAAUAAACCUAUUUACGUGUAAAUAGCUGAAUGUACCGAAGGAAUAAGGAUCGGCUAACUCCGUGCCAGCAGCCGCAGUAA
rnacentral:rRNA from 1 species